UACGGAGGGUGCGAGCGUUGUCCGGAAUCACUGGGCGUAAAGGGCGCGUAGGCGGCGCGGGGAGUCAACGGUGAAAGCUCGGCGCUCAACGCCGAGUCGGCCGUCGAUACUCCCGUGCUCGAGCACUGUAGAGGCAGAUGGAAUUCCGGGUGUAGCGGUGGAAUGCGUAGAGAUCCGGAAGAACACCGGUGGCGAAGGUGGUCUGCUGGGCAGUUGCUGACACUGAGGCGCGACAGCGUGGGGAGCAAACAGG
rnacentral:rRNA from 1 species